GUAGUCUCGCACAGAUGCAUAUCAAUAAGCGGAGGAAAAGAAACUAACAAGGAUUCCCCUAGUAACGGCGAGUGAAGCGGGAAGAGCUCAAAUUUGAAAUCUUAAAGGGUUUCCCUUUACGAAUUGUAGUUUAAAGAAGUGUUUUCUGUUGAGGUUUUGGUAAAAGUUCUUUGGAAUAGGACAUCAUAGAGGGUGAGAAUCCCGUAUUUGACCAUUACUUUCAACUUCGUGAUACACUUUCAAAGAGUCGGAUUGUUUGGGAAUGCAGUCCAAAAUGGGUGGUAAAUUUCAUCUAAAGCUAAAUAUUGGCGAGAGACCGAUAGCGAACAAGUACCGUGAGGGAAAGAUGAAAAGAACUUUGAAAAGAGAGUUAAACAGUACGUGAAAUUGUCAAAAGGGAAGCGUUUGACACCAGUGUUGUUUUUCUGAAAAUCAAUUAAAGAACUGUUUAUGCUAAGUUGUUUAGACUUUAUCAGCUAACUGUUUAGUUUUGAGCUUUUCUUUAAUGCACUUUUCAGUUAACAAGUCAACAUCAAUUUCUUUCGCUGUAAAAAAGCUUGAGGAGGGUGGCUUGAGAUUCGUCUUAAGUGUUUAUAGCCUCUUGCCUAUGCAGUCGGAGAGAUUGAGGUCUGCAGCGUAGAUCCUUCGGGGCUAAAUGCAUUUGUGCUAAGUUAUAGCAUUUUAUAGACAACUUGUUGACUAUGAUUUGUCUUGUAGCUUACUCGCUUAUGUUAUUUUACCUACGCUUAGGAUGUUGAUCUGUAGUGCGUGCGC
rnacentral:rRNA from 1 species